GAUGAACGCUAGCUACAGGCUUAACACAUGCAAGUCGAGGGGUAACGAGAGGAAAGCUUGCUUUCCUUGUCGACGACCGGCGCACGGGUGAGUAACGCGUAUCCAACCUGCCCCCAACUAGGGAAUAACCUUGCGAAAGUAAGACUAAUACCCUAUAAUUUCCUCAGAUGUCAUCUGACGAGGAAUAAAGAUUUAUCGGUUGUGGAUGGGGAUGCGUCUGAUUAGCUUGUUGGCGGGGUAACGGCCCACCAAGGCAACGAUCAGUAGGGGUUCUGAGAGGAAGGUCCCCCACAUUGGAACUGAGACACGGUCCAAACUCCUACGGGAGGCAGCAGUGAGGAAUAUUGGUCAAUGGGCGGAAGCCUGAACCAGCCAAGUAGCGUGCAGGAUGACGGCCCUAUGGGUUGUAAACUGCUUUUAUACAGGAAUAAAGUUAGCCACGUGUGGGGACCCGACGGUAGUGUAUGAAUAAGCAUCGGCUAACUCCGUGCCAGCAGCCGCCGUAAGAC
rnacentral:rRNA from 1 species